rnacentral:rRNA from 1 species
UACAGAGGGUGCAAGCGUUGUUCGGAAUUACUGGGCGUAAAGGGCUCGUAGGCGGCCAACUAAGUCAGACGUGAAAUCCCUCGGCUUAACCGGGGAACUGCGUCUGAUACUGGAUGGCUUGAAUCCGGGAGAGGGAUGCGGAAUUCCAGGUGUAGCGGUGAAAUGCGUAGAUAUCAGGAGGAACACCAAUUGCGAAGGCAGCUCGCUGGGACGUUACUGACGCUGAGACGCGAAAGCGUGGGGAGCAAACAGG